AAUAGAUACCCUGGUAGUCCACGCCGUAAACGAUGUCGACUUGGAGGUUGUUCCCUUGAGGAGUGGCUUCCGGAGCUAACGCGUUAAGUCGACCGCCUGGGGAGUACGGCCGCAAGGUUAAAACUCAAAUGAAUUGACGGGGGCCCGCACAAGCGGUGGAGCAUGUGGUUUAAUUCGAUGCAACGCGAAGAACCUUACCUACUCUUGACAUCCAGAGAACUUAGCAGAGAUGCUUUGGUGCCUUCGGGAACUCUGAGACAGGUGCUGCAUGGCUGUCGUCAGCUCGUGUUGUGAAAUGUUGGGUUAAGUCCCGCAACGAGCGCAACCCUUAUCCUUUGUUGCCAGCGGUUAGGCCGGGAACUCAAAGGAGACUGCCAGUGAUAAACUGGAGGAAGGUGGGGAUGACGUCAAGUCAUCAUGGCUCUUACGAGUAGGGCUACACACGUGCUACAAUGGCGCAUACAAAGAGAAGCGACCUCGCGAGAGCAAGCGGACCUCAUAAAGUGCGUCGUAGUCCGGA
rnacentral:rRNA from 1 species